ACCUGAUCCCUUCCCGAACUCAGAAGUGAAACCUCUUUGCGCUGAUGGUAGUGUGGGGUUACCCAUGUGAGAGUAAGUCAUCGCCAGCU
rnacentral:rRNA from 3 species